GUGGGGAAUAUUGGACAAUGGGCGAAAGCCUGAUCCAGCCAUGCCGCGUGUGUGAAGAAGGUCUUCGGAUUGUAAAGCACUUUAAGUUGGGAGGAAGGGCAGUAAGUUAAUACCUUGCUGUUUUGACGUUACCGACAGAAUAAGCACCGGCUAACUUCGUGCCAGCAGCCGCGGUAAUACGAAGGGUGCAAGCGUUAAUCGGAAUUACUGGGCGUAAAGCGCGCGUAGGUGGUUUUGUAAGUUGGAGGUGAAAUCCCCGGGCUCAACCUGGGAACUGCCUCCAAAACUGCAUGACUAGAGUACGGUAGAGGGUAGUGGAAUUUCCUGUGUAGCGGUGAAAUGCGUAGAUAUAGGAAGGAACACCAGUGGCGAAGGCGACUACCUGGACUGAUACUGACACUGAGGUGCGAAAGCGUGGGGAUCGAACAGGAUUAGAAACCCUUGUAGUCC
rnacentral:rRNA from 1 species